rnacentral:piRNA from 1 species
UGUCUUAAGAGUGAUGAGCGUACUUGGU